GUACUGAAAACCUUUCCUCCUUCCUUACCACUCUGUUCCCCCUCUCCCACUCACUGAGGAAAACAACAUCUUCCUGCUCCUGAGGUCCCCUUUCCAAAAAAAAAAAAAAAAAUGCUUGUGCUCCUUGAGAGUUCUUUGUCUUUAAGACUCUAAAAAGAACACGAGAGGCCACUUGUCACAUCUGAUCCUCACCCACAGUGACAAAGCUGUCAGCUUUGUACCCACGUUAAAACAGUAUAGUGAUUGUAGUCUUUCUUAAUAGUAGAUGAAGACAGCGUGACUGUAAUUAUAGGAUAGUGCAUGGUGAAUACAACCGAAACACACGAUCAUAAGGACAUAAUGGUCCUACUAGCAGGAUAUAAUGUCAACCAGGCUGUGCCAUCUAAAAGUAUUACCUUGUUUAAUAAUAUGUAUUGUUAGGUGAAAAGCAAUUCAUUUCCAGUACUAUAUUCAUGAGUAUAGAAUAAAAAAAACACUCUUGUCAUGAAAAGGCUAUCCUUGAAAGCUAUGGGGAUCGUUAUUUUUCGUAAGCUAUUCUUCCAUAUUUACUACUAUGACUCAUUUGAAAUUCCCACUGUCCUUAAUAUUUUUGUGGUCUCUUGACUUUCUCCCAGAACUGUUCCUAAAUUGUGUGGCGUUUUCAGCUCCUACUCUUUAAUUUUCUUAAUGCCAUGCUGAAAAUGGUUUUGCUUUUAAAGCAGUGGCUGCUCCUCUUAUGUCUGUUCUCUCCCCUUAAGUUAAUAAAGAUAAAAAUGCUUGUGUGUAAGGAAAAAGGUAGGCCUAUCUGUGUAAAGCAACAUAACUAGUUGAGUCAGGGAAAGUGAUUCCUUGCCCUUGACCUUGUGUUGCAAUCUCAUCGUGACCCAGAUUUCACCCACUAGGUUUGGUAAGGAAUUUAUCCCCCCAGACUCAAGCCUUAAGAAAUGUUUAGAGCCAGCCAGGAUCACUGAACACAAAACAGUCAAGGACAUGACUUAGAAACAAGCUUUCAUUCGUUUGUUUGUUCGUUUGUUUUUAGCUAAACCUUUUACAUCUGUUGAAUUUAAUCCAAUUGGUUGUUCAAUUUGGUAUCCUUCAGCCAUGUUGCUCAGGAUAUCUAUCCCAAGUGUCAGAAGUUAUCAGCUAAAAUUCCAUACAAUGCCAGUACUGUUUAAAACAAUCUCCAAGGCUCUAAUAAUUUUUAGGAAAGGAAAGUGUAGGUUCAAAGUUACCAAGAAAGCUUUUAAAAAGCAAAUGCCUGUUUACAUCUUUUAUUUGAAAAAAAAUCCCCAUCCAUUUUGAAAGUCAUGCAAUGUGAAAUAUUCCUUUAAUUAUAAAACCCCGUUUCUCAGUGUCUCAAAACUACUUAGUAGUAGUAGUAUAAGAGUCCUAUCUACAAGUGCCCUGUGAGUAAGCAAAAA